AUUGAACGCUGGCGGCAUGCCUUACACAUGCAAGUCGAACGGUAACAGGUCUUCGGAUGCUGACGAGUGGCGAACGGGUGAGUAAUACAUCGGAACGUGCCCGAGAGUGGGGGAUAACGAAGCGAAAGCGUUGCUAAUACCGCAUACGAUCUCAGGAUGAAAGCAGGGGACCGCAAGGCCUUGCGCUCACGGAGCGGCCGAUGGCAGAUUAGGUAGUUGGUGGGAUAAAAGCUGACCAAGCCGACGAUCUGUAGCUGGUCUGAGAGGACGACCAGCCACACUGGGACUGAGACACGGCCCAGACUCCUACGGGAGGCAGCAGUGGGGAAUUUUGGACAAUGGGCGCAAGCCUGAUCCAGCCAUGCCGCGUGCAGGAAGAAGGCCUUCGGGUUGUAAACUGCUUUUGAACGGAGCGAAAAGGCUCUCUCUAAUACAGGGGGCUGAUGACGGUACCGUAAGAAUAAGCACCGGCUAACUACGUGCCAGCCGCCGCGGUAA
rnacentral:rRNA from 1 species